rnacentral:snRNA from 1 species
AUGCCUUAAACUUAUGAGUAAGGAAAAUAACGAUGCAGGGUGAUGCCUGAAUCCUCACUGCUAAUGCGAGAUGAAUUUUUGAGCGGGUAAACCUUGCCCAUAAGGUGACCUGCUUACUUUGUGGGAUGACUGGGAGUCCCAAUCCGCCUG